rnacentral:rRNA from 1 species
AUGGCGGCCGGCCCGGAGCGGAGCAGGUGUGCUGCAGCGAUCCUGCAGAGCACAACACAUACGCCCAUCGCCGCCGCCGGAACCAUGGCGACGGAGUCGGAAGGAGACAUGGAGUUCCUCUGGAAGUGGCGCAAGUACCUGCUGCUGCUCGCCACGCUGGUCGCCAGCGUCACCUACGGCGCCGGCCUCAACCCGCCGGGCGGCGUGUGGUCCCAGGACGGAGGCAACGCCCCAGAGGCACAGCACGGCGUCCGCGUCGUUAGGCUUGGCGCCGUCAACCCGCCGGCGCCGGCGGUCUACCCGUUUCGCGUCGGCGACCCCGUGCUCGUGCACACCUACGCUGACAGGUACACCGCCUUCUUCUACUGCAACGCGGCCGCCUUCAUCGCUUCCCUGGUCAUCAUCAUGUUCCUGCUUGACCGGCGUAUCAGCGGCAACCGCGUGGGCCUCACCGUGCUCCGCUCCGCCAUGCUGCUCGACCUGCUCGCCCUCAUGGCCGCCUUCGCCGCCGGGAGCUGCCGCAGCGUGGUUGGGUCCAUCUACGUCUCCGCGCUCUUCGCCCUCGUCUUCGCCUACGUAGCCAUCCACGUCCGCUUGGAAAGGAGCAAGAAGCCGGCGGACGAGAGCCACCUCAAGGAGCGCCGCAAGUUCCUGCUGCUGCUCGCCACCUUCGCGACGCCGCUCACGUACGGCGCAGGUCUGUCGCCGCCGGGAGGCUUCUGGAGCGAGACCGGCGCCGGGCACCGCGCCGGCGCCCCACUGCUGCACGACGGGCCAUACAAGAUCCGCUACCACGCCUUCUUCUACGCCAACGCCAACUCCUUCGUCGCCUCUCUUGCCAUCAUCAUGCUGCUCAUGAGCAGCACGCUGAGCGGCCGCCUCGCCAGGUCCUACGCGCUGCCGGUGUGCGUGCUGGUGGAGCUGCUGGGCCUCAUGGCCGCCUACGCCGCCGGCAGCUGCAGGUGGAUCACCACCACCGUGUACAUCGCCUGCCUCGUCGGCGCCGUGUUCCUCUACAUCCUGCUGCAGGUGGUCAUCGCAGGGUACGUCUCCGGCAUACACAAUGGUGAGACGCCGCAGAGUAAUAAUCCAAAUAAUGAAGAACAACUAGGAGUAGUGCAAGAGGGAGGUGUUGUGACCAGGAGACUCGAAAGCAACAAUGGCCAGCAGGGUGCGGAGAAGGUGGAAGAGUCACGGUCGCUCCUGCUGCUGCUGGCCACGCUGGCGGCGACGGUGACUUACCAGGCGGGGCUGAGCCCACCGGGCGGCGUCUGGCCGGAAGGGCAUCUGGAUAACAGUCACACUGCCGGAAACCCGGUGCUCCACGACAUUAACCCCAAGAGGUAUAAGGCUUUCUACCACUGCAACACCGCGGCGUUUGUGGCGUCGCUCGUAGUCAUCGUCAUCGUCCAGAGCAAGGAGCUGAGUUCCGGCGCCGUCGUCAGGCGCGCCGCGCUUAACACGGUCAUGAUACUGGACCUGUUCGGCCUCAUGGGCGCCUACGUUGCGGGGAGCUGCCGGGACGGCGCAACGACCAUCUACGUUGCCGCCCUAGCCGUCGCCAUCUUCAUCUACUCCAUCGCCUAG